CGAACGGGUGAGUAACACGUGGGUGACCUGCCCUCAGCUCUGGGAUAAGCCUGGGAAACCGGGUCUAAUACCGGAUAUGACCUCCUGUCGCAUGGCGGGUGGUGGAAAGUUUUUUCGGCUGAGGAUGGGCCCGCGGCCUAUCAGCUUGUUGGUGGGGUGAUGGCCUACCAAGGCGACGACGGGUAGCCGGCCUGAGAGGGCGACCGGCCACACUGGGACUGAGACACGGCCCAGACUCCUACGGGAGGCAGCAGUGGGGAAUAUUGCGCAAUGGGCGAAAGCCUGACGCAGCGACGCCGCGUGGGGGAUGACGGCCUUCGGGUUGUAAACCUCUUUCGCCAUCGACGAAGCCCUUCGGGGUGACGGUAGGUGGAGAAGAAGCACCGGCCAACUACGUGCCAGCAGCCGCGGUAAUACGUAGGGUGCGAGCGUUGUCCGGAAUUAUUGGGCGUAAAGAGCUCGUAGGCGGUGUGUCGCGUCGGUCGUGAAAACUUGGGGCUUAACCCUGAGCUUGCGGUCGAUACGGGCAUCACUUGAGUUCGGCAGGGGAGACUGGAAUUCCUGGUGUAGCGGUGAAAUGCGCAGAUAUCAGGAGGAACACCGGUGGCGGAGGCGGGUCUCUGGGCCGAUACUGACGC
rnacentral:rRNA from 1 species